GCUCCUGUGGCGCAAUCGGUUAGCGUGUGGUACUUAUAAUGCAAUGCCUCAGGUUGUGAGUUCGAGCCUCACCAGGAGCA